rnacentral:misc_RNA from 1 species
UAGGAGCAGGUGGAAAAGAUUAAGAAUCCCAUUAUCCCAAUUAUUUAAAAUUUUCUAGGGUGUCUUUCACAUACUGGGUGUGCGCCCUUUCCUGAUUAGGAGCAGGUGGAAGAAUCUGGCCACCUUGGACAUCUCAGUCAGGCAAUGGAGGUUGCUCUUGAAAAUGAGGUUGUCCGUACUCCUAUUUGAGCUCCAUAACACACAAUAUUUUUAAGGACCAGUGACAUUAUUUUUGAGCUUCUUUAUGCGAAUUGGCCAGAACCAAAAAGAUCAGAUAAGGACAAUCAUGUUAAAUCAUCCAGCUGUUGUUUAUAAUUAGUAUGAUGUGAAAAUCAUUCUCAUGAUAAUUUGG